rnacentral:rRNA from 1 species
AUUGAACGCUGGCGGCAGGCCUAACACAUGCAAGUCGAACGAGUGGCGGACGGGUGAGUAAUGUCUGGGAAACUGCCCGAUGGAGGGGGAUAACUACUGUAAACGGUAGCUAAUACCGCCUACCAUCGUCUUUGCCCCGAUGGGAUUAGCUAGUGGGUGGGGUAACGGCUCACCUAGGCGACGAUCCCUAGCUGGUCUGAGAGGAUGACAAGCCACACGGGAACUGAGACAAGGGCCAGACUCAUACGGGAGGCAGCAGUGGGGAAUAUUGCAAAAGGGGCGAAAGCAUGAUGCAGCAAGGCCGCGUGGAUGAAGAAGGCCUUAGGGUUGUAAAGUACUUUCAGCGAGGAGGCGUUACUCGCAGAAGAAGCACCGGCUAACUCCGUGCCAGCAGCCGCGGUAAUUC